UUUUUUCUUUUUUUUGGCCACACCUGUGGCAUAUGGAAGUUCCCAGUCCAGAGAGUGAAUUCAUGCUGCAGCUGUGACCUAUGUGCCACAGCUGUAAGAACACCUGAUCCCUAACUCACUGUGGCCGGCUGGGGGUUGAACCAGCACCUACACAGCAACCGGAGAUGCUGCAGUCAGAUUCUUAAUCCACUGCACCACAGCAAGGAUCUCCAAAAGUAAUUCUUAAUUCACCUUUUAGCUUGUCCCUCUUUAGAAUAACACUUAAGUUUUUUAAAUAUACUUUUUUUUUGCCUUUUUUUAGGGCUGCACCUGUAGCAAAUGGAAGUUCCCAGCCUCGGGGCUGAAUCGGAGCCACAGCUGCUGGCCUACACCACACCUGGGAACCUCCAUAUGCCAUGGGGGCAGCCCUAAAAAAAAAAAAAAAAAAAAAAAAAAAGAGUGUAUAUUUCCCGUUUUACUCUGUGUUACCAAGUAUAUCUAUGAUUGGUAUGUGAUACUUUUCUAUUUCUCUAAAACUAGACUUAGUUUUAUUGACCCUGGAUAAGUUCACUAUAUCCAGAUCUCCAGCUCAGUUUUUCAGCUUUAAAGACUUCAGAUAAGAGGUUCUCAAACCAAAUUACUCAGAAAUAGAAAACAGGCUUCCUGUGAGAUACAGAAAUAGAGAUACUAGAAUCAGAAAAAUCCAUAAAGGCACCCUGAGAGUUACAACUACUAGGUAUGUGGGAUUACACAUGCAAUGAAGAACCUGAAAGUGUUUUAUUUCUGCAAUUGAGCUUAAAUUCUAACAACAUAUAAUCUAACUUUAACCUACCAUCAGUUUCUGGAUAAAAGGGCAAAACAAUAUAUAUAAUGAAGAAGGACAAAUACAAUGAAAACAAGAUGAAUGACCCCAACUCCGUGGGUAAUUUCCUUCACUAGGCACCCAUUUCUUUCGUAUUUAUGUAGAAAUGUUAUAACUUGGCUUAAUAUUUGAGCUGCAACAACUUUUUAAGUAUGGCACAAAGGGAAUUUAACAAAUGAUUAAAGGGUAAAUAAAACAUGUACCAGAGUAGGGGGUCAUAACAAACCUUCAUCUUAAUAGCAUAUCACUGAAAACUCUCUAAAAGACUACGGUCUUGCUAACAGUCUAAGAUUAAGGUUAUAAAUGAAACUCCAAUGCACACAUGCACUCUCAUGCAUGCACAAAUACUAUUAAAAAUAUAUACCAGAAGACAAUGAAAACAGUAUCAACAUGCUUAUUUGCAAGUCAUCUUGAACUCAAAUGUCUCUAGCGCAUAAGUUCCAUCAUGGCAAGAACUGUAUUUGUACAGUAAUACCCAAAUUCCGACCUCACUGUUGUAUACUGGUAACUCAACUGAUCAGAGUUUUAGAGCAUCUCAGAAGUCAUCUUAUUUAAAAUCUCCUAAUUUAAAAAUGAGAUUAAGAAACCACUGCAGAAAAAAAAGAAGAAAAAAGCCACUUUGAAAAGGUUUAGGCUCCUUAUCCUUCCAAACUUAUUAACAAGCAACAUUUAUUGAAUGUGGCUAUGUAUAAAAAAAUAACAAAAUAAAAUGGAAAGGAAUGUGACAGUCUCCUCCAUACUUGCUUAGCUAGACAAGAAAGAGAACAACUGUUAUCACUAACAGUGGACUGGUUAAGUGCUGAAAGAGCAGACUGAAAUAAUGACAUCUUACUCCUUUGGUAUCUAAGGCUAUUGUAUCAUCAGUUUCAAGCAAGUAGUUCCUUAAGAACAGAGCCCAACUGUCAUUCUCAGGGGAUACUUGCAUCAUAGGGAGUACAAGCUUAUAAACCACUACCACUUCAGCAAAGCUUUCACUUGAGGAAGAACUGAUCAAUGAUGCUGGCAGAGGCAGUUUUAUAUCUUCUUCCUAAAUGUCAGGAAUCAGUAGAUCUAGUCAAGGACUAAAAAAUAACUCAGAGCAAAAUGUGCCCCAAUUUUUCUGUGAAAAAUUUUAAAUUCAAAAAUAAACCAAAAAUUCUCUUGUCGCAUAGCAGGUUAAGGAUCCCACGUUGUCACUGCAGUGGCUUGGAUCUCUGCUGUGGCACAUGUUUGAUUCCCGCCCUAGGAACUUCCACAUGCCAUGGGAGCUGCCAAAAAAAAAAAUGUUUAAAAAAAAAUAAGCCAAAUGUAA
ensembl:lncRNA